ACACACUAUAAAAUGCACGUAUAUAUAUAUAUAUAUAUAUUUACAUAAUAAAAAUAUGCACAGAACUUGUUACUACUGUAUACUAAAUUUUAAUCUUUUAAAACGUUUUAUUUUUUAAUUUUUGAUUUAGUUUUUUCAUUAUCACAAAGUUAUUAUUUCUUCAUUUUUUAGUUAAUUUUUUUGGUUAAUUUUUUUGGUUAAUUUUUUUUGGUCCAUCCAUUAAUCCAUCCAUUAAUCCAACAUUUGGUCCAUUUUUUAACACCACAUUUUACGCUAUAUUUUCGAUAGAUGUUUCUGUUUUACCUGUUUUUAAUAUGUUCUCCCAUUGGUGGGCUUGUUUUCUCAUUCAGAAAAUGUGUACUAUUAAGUAAAGUAAAGGUGGAAGGACCGGAAGAUAUAAGAGAUAAACUGGAAAAUGGAUUAGUAUGUGUAGAUAAAAUGAAAGAAAUAUCUUCUUACAUUUCGAAAGGCGCGAAUGUUUUUUUAAAAAAAACGUACAAAUAUUUAUCAAUUUUUAUCUUCAUUUUUUGGGUAAUUUUAGUAUUAUUUACUGGUAAAGUAACAGCGUUUAGUUUUCUUCUCGGUUGUUUGACAUCUGUAUUGUGUGGGUUUAUAGGAAUGAAAAUCGCAACGUAUGUUAAUGUGAGGACUAUUAAUGAAACUUGGAAAGGCUUAGAUAAAGGUUUUCAAGUAACAUUAAAUGGAGGGAUCGUGGUUGGUUUAUCAUCAGUUUCGUUGAGUAUACUGUCAAUAUGUAUAUUAAUAUAUUUUUAUAAAAAAUUAUUUGAUAUGGGUAUUGAUAAUGGUUUUGCUGUUCACUUACUUAUAUCUGGGUAUGGACUUGGUGCAUCUAUUAUAGCUUUAUUUUCUAGAGUAGGUGGAGGAAUUUAUACAAAAGCAGUAAAUGUAGGUGCUGAUUUGUCAAGCAAAAAUGAAUAUGGUAUACCAGAACAUGAUAUAAGAAACCCAGCUUGUAUAGCAGAUACUGUAGGGGAUAAUGUCAAUAAUAUAGUUGGAUUAGGAGCUGAUUUAUUUGGAUCUUUAGCAGAAAGUCUAUGUGCAGUUUUAGUCAUAGGAUCUAAUGUAUUAAGUUUAAAACUAAAUAAUAAUUAUUAUAAUAUAAAUAGUUGUAUUUAUUUUCCUUUGUUAUCUUUAAGUAUGAGUAUUUUGGUUGGAAUUAUAACUUAUUUAAUAGUAAUGCAUAUUGUUAAAAUUGUAGAGAAAAAAGAUGUCGAAAUAGCAUUAAGGUCUUUUAUUAUGUUAUCAAUUAUAAUACAAUCUAUUGUUAUGAUUAUUUUAGGAUAUAUGUGUAUACCAAAAAUAUUAAGAUAUAAUAUUAUUAAAGAAAUACAAAGAUGGAAAAUAAUUUUGCCUUUUUUAUUAGGAUUAUGGUCAUGCCUACUUAUAUGUUUAACAACAGAGUUUUAUACUUCUCAUAUAUUUAAGCCUGUACAAAACAUUGCUAACAUGCAAAAAAUAUCUGCAGCUACUGGAAUUAUCUAUGGAAUAUCAUUAGGAUAUCAAAGUACACUCAUUCCUAUUAUUUGUUUAAGUAUAACAUUAGGUAUUUCCUAUAAUUUAUGUGAAUUGUAUGGAAUCGCAUUAGCAUCUGUUGGAAUGUUGAGUACGCUAUGUAUGUGCUUAACUAUAGAUGCAUAUGGUCCUAUGUCAGAUAAUGCUGAUGGUAUUUCUGGAAUGGCAGGGUUACCUCUUGAAGUAAAAACAAAAACGAGCAUGCUCGAUGAAAUAAGCAAUACUACUAUAUCUAUUGGAAAAGGUUAUUCUAUAGGAUCUGCUACUUUAACUGCUUUUGCAUUAUUAAGUGCAUAUGCAAGUGUUGCUCAAUUACGUCAGCUUAAUAUCCUAAACUCUUGGGUACUUAUGGGAAUACUUAUAGGAGCUAUGUUACCAUAUAUAUAUACUGCUUUAACUAUUAAAUCGGUUACAAUUGCUGCUGAUAAUGUAUUAACUGAAUGUUUAUUACAGCUACCAUUAAUUUUAUCUAAUAGACAAAAACCAGACUAUGAAAAAUGUAUAGAGCAUGCAACUGAUGUAUCCUUAAGAAUGUUAAUUAUACCAGGUUUAUUAUCUAUUUUUGUACCUUUACUAGUUGGAUUUUUAUUUGGUAAAUAUGCUCUUGCUGGUCUUUUAAUAGGUAUAAUUUUAUCAGGAACGAUGUUAGCUUUUGCAUCAACUCAUGCAGGCAGUGCAUGGGAAAAUGCAAAAAAGUAUAUAGAGUCAGGUGGUUUAGGUACUGAAUUUUCAAAAGGGUCAGAUGCUCAUAAGAAUGCUAUCAUCGGAAAUGUUGUUGGAAGUCCAUUAAAAGAUACAUCAGGCCCUUCUUUAAAUAUUCUUAUCAAAUUGUCUGCCAUUACUUCGCUUGUUUUUGCACAUUAUAUUUCUUCUAAUUUUACAUCAAAGUUGGGAGGCUCCGUUUUUUUCUGAGCAAAGGAUACGUGUGCUUGUAUCCGUGUGUAGAUAGGGUUUUUAUUUUUCAUUUUUAACGACUAAAAUGAACGAAAAGGAACCAAAAUGAACGAAAAGGAACCAAAGUGAACAAAAGUGAACAAAAGUGAACAAAAGUGAACCGAAGUGAACAAAAGUGAACCAAAGUGAACAAAAGUGAACCAAAGUGAACAAAAGUGAACCAAAGUGAACCAAAGUGAACCAAAGUGAACCAAAGUGAAUAAAAGUGAACAUAAGUGAACCA
ensembl:lncRNA